CUGUUUAAUAAACGAGUAGGAGUGUUUUAUCACAUAUAAAGAGACGCCACGCUUAUGAUUUCUCUUUGUGUUUUCCUCAUGAAUUAUUAAUGAGUUUUAAAGUACUAUUUAAAACAUGAGCAGCAGUGUUUUAUCAGAUGUAAUGAUACGAGGCGAAGCCGAGUAUCUUUAGGUCUGAUAAAACACGCACUGCAAAUGUUUUAAAUUGCAUAAAAAACGAUGGAUCUAGUAAGUUCAGUGGCGAAGUAAUUUUCAAAAAAUACGUUGUGUAAGUCGAGAAAAUCAAAGUUAAAGUUUAUGUAAAUCAAGGGAAAUCAUUAUCAGAUACAGGGUGUAUCAUGUUAAAAUUUGAAUGCCUUUUCAAUUGCACAUAUGCUGAACCGUGGUGCGUGAAAUAUUGAUGGAGUGCAUAUAUUAGGCCCCGUUUACAUGAGACCGGGACGAAGUCAAACCGGAAUGAAAAUUGAAAUUGUCAACAUGUUUACAUGAGACCGGUACGAGGAUCACAAAAUCUUCAAUUUAUUUCCCUUGCCAGGCAAUUUUCUUUUUCAGGUGGCUUUUGCUAGCAUGUGUUGUUCCAAUGUCAAGAUUACAGCCGAGACCGGUCUGAAAUGUAUUUGUAGAGAGGUUAAGAUACCCCGGUUCCGGUUUACGGGUACGGGUGAUAUACACGUACCCGUACUCGUAAACCGGGGAACGACUUGUAACUUAAGAAAUCCAAGAUAUUCCGGCGUGCGUAAACCUAUCAGUGAAUGGCAACUUUCGCUGUUGAGGUUCGCCAUAGAUUGUUGAAAACUUUGACAAGCAUAAGUGCAUCAUUUAUUUGGGUAAGAUGUUGAAAAUUUGUACUAUUUAAACGGCCCACAAAUAGUAAACACAAAACACCCGUACCCGUUUGCCUUUUACGUGUAGACCAUGGUUUACCGCGGGGAAACGGGUAGAAAUCACGGGUAAAAAUGCUGACAUCAGCAAAAAUUGGUAAACAAAAUGGCGAUACUCGUACCCGUAGACCGGAACCGGGGUAUCUUAACCUCUCUUGUGUUUACAUUCAUCCCGGUCUGAAUUCAUGCCGGUCUGAAGUCAGUCGGUUCGGUCCAGAAGGCGGAAUGACUUGAGACCGGUCUGAGUUAUUUUCGUCCCGGUCUCAUGUAAACAUCUAUUAUAGAUAAUACUAUGACCGAAACGAGAUGGUCCCGGUUUGACUUCGUUCCGGUCUCAUGUAAACGGGGCCUUAGAAAAAGGAGACCUUUAGAAAUCAACCAUUGUUAUAAUUUGAAUCCUGCAUAGAUCCAAGUAUUCGUGGUAAAAUGGUAAAUGGUCAAGUUGCAGUAUAGAACAUUGCAUGUGAGGAAGCCGAGCUUUAAAAAGCUAUGGUGACCAUGGCAUUUUAAAACUUAUGCAUUAUCAAAAUUUUUUUUUUGAAUAUUCUACAAGCAUUCCAAGAAUGUGACGCUUGGGCGCGAAGCCAACAUCGGUGCUGCUUGACGUAUAUACGAAACUAAAGUUAUUUUUUAUAUAAAAGAAGUCACAAUAUGUGAAGUGCAUCGUUUUAAGACGUAGAGGCCUGUAAAACUUAUAUCGUGAUUAAAUAAAUUAUUAUUAUUAUUAUUAUUGGCAUUUCCUUAUAUUCUGUUCUCAAUUGUCUUUUCCUUUAUUCUGUUGUUGCCCUAUGUUGUGUGUUUAUGUGCGAAAUUGUCGGCGGGGUCAUUUGACCAAUUCGCCUGGCAGUGUUU
rnacentral:lncRNA from 1 species